rnacentral:rRNA from 1 species
GAUGAACGCUAGCGAUAGGCCUAACACAUGCAAGUCGAGGGGCAUCACGGAGUAGCAAUACUUUGGUGGCGACCGGCGCACGGGUGAGUAACGCGUAUGCAAUCUACCUACAACAGGGGGAUAAUCCGGAGAAAUCCGGACUAAUACCGCAUAACACAGGGGUCCCGCAUGGGAAUAUUUGUUAAAGAUUUAUCGGUUGUAGAUGAGCAUGCGUUCCAUUAGGUAGUUGGUGAGGUAACGGCCCACCAAGCCUGCGAUGGAUAGGGGAACUGAAAGGUUAGUCCCCCAAACAGGAACGAGGACACGGACCAGACUCCUACGGGAGGCAGCAUGGAGGAAUAUUGGUCAAUGUGCGAGAGCCUGAACCAGCCAAAUCGCGUGAAGGAAGACUGCCUUAUGGGUUGUAAACUUCUUUUGUACAGGAAUAAAAAGAGGGACGUGUCCUUCAUUGCAUGUACUGUACGAAUAAGCAUCGGCUAACUCCGUGCCAGCCGCCGCCGUAA